rnacentral:rRNA from 1 species
GACGAACGCUGGCGGCGCGCCUAACACAUGCAAGUCGAACGAGCGAGCGAGAGCUUGCUUUCUCAAGCGAGUGGCGAACGGGUGAGUAACGCGUGAGGAACCUGCCUCAAAGAGGGGGGCAACAGUUGGAAACGACUGCUAAUACCGCAUAAGCCCACGACCCGGCAUCGGGUAGAGGGAAAAGGAGCAAUCCGCUUUGAGAUGGCCUCGCGUCCGAUUAGCUAGUUGGUGAGGUAACGGCCCACCAAGGCGACGAUCGGUAGCCGGACUGAGAGGUUGAACGGCCACAUUGGGACUGAGACACGGCCCAGACUCCUACGGGAGGCAGCAGUGGGGAAUAUUGCACAAUGGGGGAAACCCUGAUGCAGCGACGCCGCGUGGAGGAAGAAGGUCUUCGGAUUGUAAACUCCUGUUGUUGAGGAAGAUAAUGACGGUACUCAACAAGGAAGUGACGGCUAACUACGUG